AGCAGCCGCGGUAAUUCCAGCUCCAAUAGCGUAUAUUAAAGUUGUUGCAGUUAAAAAGCUCGUAGUUGAAUUUCGGGGUUCUACCGUUGGUCGGGCUUUGUCUGUACUGGCGUGUAGAAUUUCUACCUUCUGGGGAACCAUCAUGUUAUUAAUUUAGCGUGGUGGGAAACCAGGACCUUUACCUUGAAAAAAUUAGAGUGUUCAAAGCAGGCUUAUGUCUGAAUACAUUAGCAUGGAAUAAUAGAAUAGGACGGUGGUCCUGUUUUGUUGGUUUCUGAAUCACCGUAAUGAUUAAUAGGGAUAGUUGGGGGCAUUAGUAUUCAAUUGUCAGAGGUGAAAUUCUUGGAUUUAUUGAAGACUAACUUCUGCGAAAGCAUUUGCCAAGGAUGUUUUCAUUAAUCAAGAACGAAAGUUAGGGGAUCGAAGACGAUCAGAUACCGUCGUAGUCUUAACCAUAAACUAUGCCGACUAGGGAUCGGACGAUGUUAAUUUUUAAUGACUCAUUCGGCGCCUUACGGGA
rnacentral:rRNA from 1 species